rnacentral:tRNA from 1 species
GUCUGGGUGGCUUAGUUGGUUAAGCAUCUGACUUUGGCUCAGGUCAUGCUUUCACAGUUCAUGAGUUCAAACCUCACAUCAGGCU